rnacentral:rRNA from 2 species
GGGCGUUAAGUUGCAGGGUAUAGACCCGAAACCCGGUGAUCUAGCCAUGGGCAGGUUGAAGGUUGGGUAACACUAACUGGAGGACCGAACCGACUAAUGUUGAAAAAUUAGCGGAUGACCUGUGGCUGGGGGUGAAAGGCCAAUCAAACCGGGAGAUAGCUGGUUCUCCCCGAAAGCUAUUUAGGUAGCGCCUCGUGAAUUCAUCUCCGGGGGUAGAGCACUGUUUCGGCUAGGGGGCCAUCCCGGCUUACCAACCCGAUGCAAACUGCGAAUACCGGAGAAUGUUAUCACGGGAGACACACGGCGGGUGCUAACGUCCGUCGUGAAGAGGGAAACAACCCAGACCGCCAGCUAAGGUCCCAAAGUCAUGGUUAAGUGGGAAACGAUGUGGGAAGGCCCAGACAGCCAGGAUGUUGGCUUAGAAGCAGCCAUCAUUUAAAGAAAGCGUAAUAGCUCACUGGUCGAGUCGGCCUGCGCGGAAGAUGUAACGGGGCUAAACCAUGCACCGAAGCUGCGGCAGCGACACUGUGUGUUGUUGGGUAGGGGAGCGUUCUGUAAGCCUGUGAAGGUGUGUCGUGAGGCAUGCUGGAGGUAUCAGAAGUGCGAAUGCUGACAUAAGUAACGAUAAAGCGGGUGAAAAGCCCGCUCGCCGGAAGACCAAGGGUUCCUGUCCAACGUUAAUCGGGGCAGGGUGAGUCGACCCCUAAGGCGAGGCCGAAAGGCGUAGUCGAUGGGAAACGGGUUAAUAUUCCCGUACUUGGUGUUACUGCGAAGGGGGGACGGAGAAGGCUAUGUUGGCCGGGCGACGGUUGUCCCGGUUUAAGCGUGUAGGUGUGUGUUCCAGGUAAAUCCGGUUCACUUUAACACUGAGGCGUGACGACGAGGCACUACGGUGCUGAAGCAACAAAUGCCCUGCUUCCAGGAAAAGCCUCUAAGCAUCAGGUAACAUCAAAUCGUACCCCAAACCGACACAGGUGGUCAGGUAGAGAAUACCAAGGCGCUUGAGAGAACUCGGGUGAAGGAACUAGGCAAAAUGGUGCCGUAACUUCGGGAGAAGGCACGCUGACACGUAGGUGAAGUGAUUUACUCAUGGAGCUGAAGUCAGUCGAAGAUACCAGCUGGCUGCAACUGUUUAUUAAAAACACAGCACUGUGCAAACACGAAAGUGGACGUAUACGGUGUGACGCCUGCCCGGUGCCGGAAGGUUAAUUGAUGGGGUCAGCGCAAGCGAAGCUCCUGAUCGAAGCCCCGGUAAACGGCGGCCGUAACUAUAACGGUCCUAAGGUAGCGAAAUUCCUUGUCGGGUAAGUUCCGACCUGCACGAAUGGCGUAAUGAUGGCCAGGCUGUCUCCACCCGAGACUCAGUGAAAUUGAACUCGCUGUGAAGAUGCAGUGUACCCGCGGCAAGACGGAAAGACCCCGUGAACCUUUACUAUAGCUUGACACUGAACAUUGAGCCUUGAUGUGUAGGAUAGGUGGGAGGCUUUGAAGUGUGGACGCCAGUCUGCAUGGAGCCGACCUUGAAAUACCACCCUUUAAUGUUUGAUGUUCUAACGUGGACCCGUUACCCGGGUUGCGGACAGUGUCUGGUGGGUAGUUUGACUGGGGCGGUCUCCUCCUAAAGAGUAACGGAGGAGCACGAAGGUUGGCUAAUCCUGGUCGGACAUCAGGAGGUUAGUGCAAUGGCAUAAGCCAGCUUGACUGCGAGCGUGACGGCGCGAGCAGGUGCGAAAGCAGGUCAUAGUGAUCCGGUGGUUCUGAAUGGAAGGGCCAUCGCUCAACGGAUAAAAGGUACUCCGGGGAUAACAGGCUGAUACCGCCCAAGAGUUCAUAUCGACGGCGGUGUUUGGCACCUCGAUGUCGGCUCAUCACAUCCUGGGGCUGAAGUAGGUCCCAAGGGUAUGGCUGUUCGCCAUUUAAAGUGGUACGCGAGCUGGGUUUAGAACGUCGUGAGACAGUUCGGUCCCUAUCUGCCGUGGGCGCUGGAGAACUGAGGGGGGCUGCUCCUAGUACGAGAGGACCGGAGUGGACGCAUCACUGGUGUUCGGGUUGUCAUGCCAAUGGCACUGCCCGGUAGCUAAAUGCGGAAGAGAUAAGUGCUGAAAGCAUCUAAGCACGAAACUUGCCCCGAGAUGAGUUCUCCCUGAGACUUAGAGUCUCCUGAAGGAACGUUGAAGACGACGACGUUGAUAGGCCGGGUGUGUAAGCGCAGCGAUGCGUUGAGCUAACCGGUACUAAUGAACCGUGAGGCUUAACCUU